UCUUAUAGAUGAGCAAAGAAAGUGGUUUCUUGAGAUGGAAUCUACUCCUGGUGAUGAUUCUGUGAA
rnacentral:pre_miRNA from 1 species